CCUACGGGAGUCAGCAGUGGGGAAUAUUGCACAAUGGGGGGAAGCCUGAUGCAGCGACGCCGCGUGAGUGAAGAAGUCAUUCGUGUUGUAAAGCUCUAUCAGCAGGGACGAAAAUGACGGUGCCUGACUAAGAAGCCCCGGCUAACUACGUCGCAGCAGCCGCGGUAAUACGUAGGGGGCAAGCGAUAUCCGAAUUUACUGGGUGUAAAGGGGGCGUAGACGGCAGCGCAAGUCCGAAGUGAAAGCCCCGGGCUCAACCCCGUGACUGCUUGUGAAACUGUGAAGCUGGAGUGCGGGAGGGGCAGGCGGAAUUCCGGGUGUAGCGGUGAAAUGCGUAGAUAUCAGGAGGAACACCGGCGGCGAAGGCGGCCUGCUGGACAGUAACUGACGUUGAGGCGCGAAAGCGUGGGGAGCAAACAGGAUUAGAUACCCUAGUAGUC
rnacentral:rRNA from 1 species